AGAUGAGUCUCAGGUGCCAUCUGGUGUGGAAGCCAGUGACUACAUAGCUGCAAAGGAAAAGGUAAAAAGAUGCAUCCAGAAAAAAGAGCUUGCUGAUCCCUGAUCUACAGGCCACAUUCUAUGCUGCAUGCUUGAAGAAAGUGGACACUCAGUCUGAACACAAGACAAUGGAAGAGCUAUAUAAUAGAUCAGCUUCAUUCUAGGCUGGUGCCUCUCUAGCCAAAAGAUGGUUGUCAACUCACUCCCCCCAGGAUAUGUUCUUCC